CACUGAAUGCAUGCUUACCGGCAGCACUCUUUUCACAACGGAGGCGCCAUUGCAAUUUAAAUCAUCAAACAGUCUGGCAACUCAAUAUCUUUUCAAAUAAAGUCCACUAAUUAGGAUGAUAAAAUGCUUUGGAAAUUGUUUUUAUAAUUGGCUGGGCGAAAUAAACCAAGACGUGCAGCAAUUUAUGCCAACAACAACACUUCGGAGACACAUUGUCCCUUUGAAGGCGCCAUUUUUAAACG